UAAGGAGGUAGUUUAACUAAAACAUUUAAUUUGCACUUAAAAAAUACCAAAGUUCUCCUUAA
rnacentral:tRNA from 1 species